AUUAAACUUUAAUGGGUAACUAGUAGACAGUAACACUCUGGGAGGGCUCAAACCACAUAACCAAAUGUGCCAAGAUAAUCCUGAGCUCACUAUUGUCAGUCCUGAAGAUUUUCCUCAGAUAAUCUUUCAUCUCUUUGUUCCUGAGACUAUAUAUUAGAGGAUUACAGAGUGGUGUUAUCACAGAAUAGAACAAGGUCACUUGAUAUUCUUGGCUUGAUGAAAAAAAACAAGAUUCUAACGUGACAGAACUUGUUCUUCUGGGCCUAUCAUCUUCUUGGGAGCUGCAGCUAUUUCUCUUAUUACUAUUUUUGUUUUUUUACAUUGCUAUUGUCCUGGGAAACCUCUUGAUAGUGGUAACAGUGCAAGCCCAUGCUCAUCUGCUCCAAUCUCCUAUGUAUUAUUUUUUAGGUCAUCUCUCUUUCAUUGACCUAUGCCUAAGCUGUGUUACUCUGCCAAAGAUGUUAGGGGAUUUCCUACAGCAGGGCAAGAGCAUCUCUUUUUCAGGAUGCCUGGCCCAGAUCUACUUCCUCCACUUUCUAGGAGCCAGUGAGAUGUUUUUGCUGACAGUUAUGGCCUAUGACAGUGGAUUUUUAUCUGAGAUCUACAACUUAUGAAGAAUACAAAUGAUGUAUAUUCUUUUCUACUCUUCAUGUAUGGACUAGAGGGGCUUGCACAGUAGUAAGAAAAAAAUGGCUGAGACCCACAGGAACAAAGAAACAGGACAGGAGUUAGAUGCAGAGAAGAGAUUUCAACAAAAGUUUGGAAGAGAUGCUAACGGUAGCAUCUGAGUCACAGACAGAACAUUGGCACCUUUGUUUAAGAAACUGAAUGUUAAUGUCACAUCUGCCUUUGGAGAUUACAAAUGAAAUGGCUACCUUUCUACUGGAACCCUGACCAGAAGUCUGCCAGUUAGUAAGCUGGCUUAAGAGAUCAAUCUAAAAUUUACAUAAGGCUUUUGAAAAAAAGAAAAAAGCAGAAGAAAUGAAGAUAGCAAACAACACAGUAGUGACAGAAUUUAUCCUCCUUGGUCUGACUCAGUCUCAAGAUAUUCAGCUCUUGGUCUUUGUGCUGAUCUUAAUUUUCUACCUUAUCAUCCUCCCUGGAAAUUUUCUCAUUAUUUUCACCAUAAGGUCAGACCCUGGGCUCACAGCCCCCCUCUAUUUCUUUCUGGGCAACUUGGCCUUCCUGGAUGCAUCCUACUCCUUCAUUGUGGCUCCCAGGAUGUUGGUGGACUUCUUCUCUGAGAAGAAGGUAAUCUCCUACAGAGGCUGCAUCACUCAGCUCUUUUUCUUGCACUUCCUUGGAGGAGGGGAGGGAUUACUCCUUGUUGUGAUGGCCUUUGACCGCUACAUCGCCAUCUGCCGGCCUCUGCACUGUUCAACUGUCAUGAACCCUAGAGCCUGCUAUGCAAUGAUGUUGGCUCUGUGGCUUGGGGGUUUUGUCCACUCCAUUAUCCAGGUGGUCCUCAUCCUCCGCUUGCCUUUUUGUGGCCCAAACCAGCUGGACAACUUCUUCUGUGAUGUCCGACAGGUCAUCAAGCUGGCUUGCACCGACAUGUUUGUGGUGGAGCUUCUGAUGGUCUUCAACAGUGGCCUGAUGACACUCCUGUGCUUUCUGGGGCUUCUGGCUUCCUAUGCAGUCAUCCUCUGCCAUGUUCGUAGGGCAGCUUCUGAAGGGAAGAACAAGGCCAUGUCCAUGUGCACCACUCGUGUCAUUAUUAUACUUCUUAUGUUUGGACCUGCUAUCUUCAUCUACAUGUGCCCUUUCAGGGCCUUACCAGCUGACAAGAUGGUUUCUCUCUUUCACACAGUGAUCUUUCCAUUGAUGAAUCCUAUGAUUUAUACCCUUCGCAACCAGGAAGUGAAAACUUCCAUGAAGAGGUUAUUGAGUCGACAUGUAGUCUGUCAAGUGGAUUUUAUAAUAAGAAACUGAGAAGGAGGAAUUCUGGCUGGAAUUCAUAUCAUUCAUUUAACAAGUCCUGUUUUUCACUGAGUACCUCCCAUUUGCCAGGUACCAUUGUAGGCAAUGGAGGAGAGUUAUGCAUAAUGAGAGAAUAAACUUAUUAUAUUUAAAGAAUAUAAAGGAAACCCCAGAGUGGUUGAAGUAUAAUGAGUAAGUGUGAGAAAUUUAAGGGUUAAGUUUUAUGUGACUGCAAGGGUCUUUCAGUCUGAGGUAAGAAUUUUUUCAUAUUUUAAUUGUGGUAAGAACCCAUUUUAAUGUUUUAAGCAAAGGAGCAGUUCAUCUACAAUGCUUUCCUCUACUGGUUAGAGCAACAUCAGCAAGAUUUUAGGCAGAGAUUAAUAAACUGUAAAAUAUCAAAAACC
ensembl:lncRNA LINC02203 long intergenic non-protein coding RNA 2203